GUUUUUUUAGUAUUUUUAGGCACUCUUUUAUGAAUCUUAGUUAGUUUCUCCUCCAGUAUUUAGUUAGUUCAUCAUUUACGGUGGCAUUUAGGUACUGCAAUGGCUGUUGAGUAAUAAUAGUUUAUAGUCUAGCCAUUUUUAGUUAGUUCAUCAUUUAAAAUGAGCAUUUUUAGGACUGCAACAUCAUAUUUAGUUGCUUUAUAUCGAGGAUUUGGGCUUCAUGAAGGUGAUAUGAUCUAACUUAAUGUCUGCAUUUCAUUGCUUGAAAAUCUCUGAGGUUAUAUAAUGUGUGUUGUGACCAUUCCGUUUACCUGUUGGAUUGUAGAUAACAGACUUGAAGAAGAUGAAGUGGUAUCUGGUGAAUACAAAUUGACUGAUUCAUAAGAUGAUGUUAAUGACGAUGAUUUUCAUUAUGAUAAGAAUGAAAAUGCAUGGAUUUUGGUUGGAUUAAAUGCAGAUCAUACUGUCAAUCUAUUCACUGCUCGAAAGGACAGCCAUAACAAAAAAAAAAGAAAAAAAGGUUGCUCGGGGAUCAGUUCCAUAUACACCACCAAGAAUAAAGAAAAGUUUAGCAACUCAAUAGUACAUCAAUGUUGUUUGAUGGCUAUAAUUUAGAUUAUGAAGAUGAUAAGGUUUUGAAUUAAUUUUCUUUUGUUGUGCAUCUGACUGAAAUUAUGUUUUGUUGAUGUACAAACGAAUCUAAUUAUGCUUAGUCUAUGGUUGACUGAAAUUUUAUAUUUUGGUGUAUAGUUGAGUGAAUUGGAAAUUUGGAAUGCUUGGUGUAUAACAUUCUGGUGUGGCUGAAGUUUUUG
rnacentral:lncRNA from 1 species